rnacentral:rRNA from 1 species
UGGGGAAUAUUGCACAAUGGGCGCAAGCCUGAUGCAGCCAUGCCGCGUGUAUGAAGAAGGCCUUCGGGUUGUAAAGUACUUUCAGCGGGGAGGAAGGGAGUAAAGUUAAUACCUUUGCUCAUUGACGUUACCCGCAGAACAAGCACCGGCUAACUCCGUGCCAGCAGCCGCGGUAAUACGGAGGGUGCAAGCGUUCAUCGGAAUUACUGGGCGUAAAGCGCACGCAGGCGGUUUGUUAAGUCAGAUGUGAAAUCCCCGGGCUCAACCUGGGAACUGCCUCUGAUACUGGCAAGCUUGAGUCUCGUAGAGGGGGGUAGAAUUCCAGGUGUAGCGGUGAAAUGCGUAGAGAUCUGGAGGAAUACCGGUGGCGAAGGCGGCCCCCUGGACGAAGACUGACGCUCAGGUGCGAAAGCGUGGGGAGCAAACAGG